GACGAACGCUGGCGGCGUGGAUUAGGCAUGCAAGUCGAACGGUAUCAUCCUUUCGGGGGUGAGAGAGUGGCGAACUGGUGAGUAACACGUAGGUUAUCUACCCUCAAGACGGGGACAACCCAGGGAAACUUGGGCUAAUACCGGAUGUGAGCAACUUUUAGUUGUUUGAAAGGUGGCGUAAGCUGUCGCUUGGGGAUGAGCCUGCGUCCUAUUAGUUAGUUGGUGAGGUAACGGCUCACCUAGGCAAUGAUAGGUAGGCGGCCUUAACGGGUGGUCGCCCACACUGGGAUUGAGAUACGGCCCAGACUCCUACGGGAGCAGCAGUCGAGAAUAGUCUACAAUGGUCGGAAGACUGAUAGUGCGACGCCGCGUGAACGAUGAAUCCCUUCGGGGUUAAAGUUCUUUUAUAUGUGAGCAGUGCUUCUUAUAUUAACAGUAUGGGGAAGAGAUAUUAGCAUAUGAAUAAGCAACGGCUAACUCGUGCCAGCAGCCGGGUAAUCUCG
rnacentral:rRNA from 1 species